GACGAACGCUGGCGGCGUGCUUAACACAUGCAAGUCGAACGGUAAGGCCCUUUCGGGGGUACACGAGUGGCGAACGGGUGAGUAACACGUGGGUGAUCUGCCCUGCACUUUGGGAUAAGCCUGGGAAACUGGGUCUAAUACCGGAUAGGACUACGCGAUGCAUGUCGUGUGGUGGAAAGCUUUUGCGGUGUGGGAUGGGCCCGCGGCCUAUCAGCUUGUUGGUGGGGUGAUGGCCUACCAAGGCGACGACGGGGAGCCGGCCUGAGAGGGUGUCCGGCCACACUGGGACUGAGAUACGGCCCAGACUCCUACGGGAGGCAGCAGUGGGGAAUAUUGCACAAUGGGCGCAAGCCUGAUGCAGCGACGCCGCGUGGGGGAUGACGGCCUUCGGGUUGUAAACCCCUUUCAGCACAGACGAAGCGUAAGUGACGGUAUGUGCAGAAGAAGCACCGGCCAACUACGUG
rnacentral:rRNA from 1 species